GGGGAUGUAGCUCAAUGGUAGAGCGUCGGUCUUCCAGACUGAUGACGCUGGUUCGACUCCCGCCGUCCCCU
rnacentral:tRNA from 1 species